UUAGGAGGAGGGAGGAACACGCAGCUGCUUGGUGUGUGAAGCAGAAUCACAUUGUGCAUGCUGUAAGUCUCUCUACCCACAAAUCGCCACAAAUCAGAAGCAGCCCAUUUCACAGGUAAAUGGAGCGGCCCUUCAGGAAAUUGCCCGAACUGACAGAUUGUCAGUCCGGGCCUGCCCUUGGGACCCUGCUUGGACUUUGAUUCACUGCUGCCAACUUUGCUUGCCAGUUUGACUACUCUCUUGCACAAUCCUUGGUACCCUGCUUGGACUUUUAUUACUGCUGCCGACUCUGAUUCCCUAUCUGACCACGCUCCGGAUUAACCCUUGGUACCCUGUGAUCUAUUGUUGCCAACUCGGACGCCUGCUUGACCCUUCUGUGCUGUGCUGCUAUACAUGGCUAACCUUUACUGCCGUCGCUGACCUUCACAUCUGCCAGUCCUUGCUCCAAGAUUUGCUAGCGGUUAUGAAUCUAACCUGACGCUAAGCCACGAAACCCGAUACCUGAAGCAUUCCAUGGAUUGGUGUGUACUUUUAAAGACUUUUCAGGCUCCCAUACCUAGCCUUCACUAGUCUCCCUCUAUACCUAUUUGAGGGUGUACUUGUGGGGGGCUGUAAGGGUUGUCCUUCUCAACGCCAGUGGUUUCCAAGUUUGGUAAGUCUGACAGGUUUGUUUUAAAAACAUGAACAAGUGUCCCUUAAAUAUACAACAGUCUGCACCUCCCAAUUUUAGUGUUAACGUAUAUCAGUUAAAUCAAUGAACUGGGCCUGGAACCUGCAAAAAAGUAUCAGUCUCAACUAACCAUGAUUAUCAGUCUAUUCCUGCUAAAUGUAUAAACUCUGAAACACAGUCAUUGAAGUUCCAGUUAGCUACUGGUCCAAGUGAUUUGUGCCAUAACAUUGAGAAGGUGCAUUAUAUGAGUGGUAGAGCCAUGUUCACUUACCAUUUGAACUCAAGAGUUAUAGGGACAUUGCCAUUCAUUGAGCCCCCAGAAACAAUAUGCAUUAUAUGCAACCGAGUGGCAGAAACAUGUACACUUAUCCUUUGCUUCAACUCCAGCAAGACCAGCAAAGAAGCGUUUAAGUCUCAACUAAUUAGUUGAUAUAGAUAUACCUGAAUCCUUUUCCUACAGGCUGAGUGGCUGCUAAAUUAAAUAAUCUACACAAUAUAUGUCAAACAGUUAAAUGUUGUUAAAUGCACUUCAAUAUUUAUUACACUGUAGGACUCACAUUAAAUAAGGGACCUUGACACAGCACAAGAGCAAUCAUACUUUGUCCAAAAAGUAGCAUUAAACGUUUGCAAUAUUUUUUAUCUUUUGCGUUUGAAAUUAUUGGUUGUAUAUCGUUUGUAGCAGCUGGUCAAAUUCAGAAAGUAUAUCAGGCCGAGCGCUAAAAAAUUAGCAGCUGUUCAACUAUACAUUGAAAAUGUGAGCAGACGCCUGCAGCCUGCCAUACCCACCACAUAGUACCACAUUUUAUUAGUGGUUUACGGCCGAACAACCCAGCAAAACUCGACCAGUUUUCACCAAUCCCAUAAAGCAACUAUGUGCCGCGUCAAUGCAUUUAUAUACGCAUCCGCAACCCGCAGAUUUAUUCUAACAUCCAUACAGUUGCUUUACAAGAGGACAUCUCCCAAUCUGUUGAUAAUUGUGAGCACGUUUCAACCGAUAAUAAAUCUUGGUGCAACAGUGAUGCAGAGCCUGCAACCCAAAGUGAGGAUGAGUGCAAUGAAGAUGAAGAGGAAAAUCACAAACUCUGGAACUCUUUUAUUAAAUCUGAUGAUCCCUACAACCCUCUAUGCUUUAAAGCUUCUGUUUAUACAUCUGAGAGAAAUAAUAGAGAUUCCUCCUGCAAAUAUGCUGAGCUGGUGUGUGGAAGACACUGUUAUUGCAAAUUAAGUUUACGUCCUAAUGUUGAAAAUAUUCCUUGGUUUAGAGACUCUUGUUCAGCAUCGGUUAAAGGUGCCAAUCUUGAAAGGAAAAAGGUAUAAUGUUCUUUAAUUUUACCAUAACAUGGGGAACUCUACCCAUUCUGUAUAGAUAAUUACUUGUUAAACAUAAUUUUUUCCAUGUUGUCAGAAAGUCCCAUAUCUGCAUAUAUUCCUUCAGAGAAAACAAUUGAACUACAAUGAGCUGUUCAACCCCUUUGGGGACACAGUUCAAUUCAUAUGUCCAAAAAGCCUCCCUUUGUAGUAAAGCUUGAUCAAUGUUGCCUCCCCUUGGCAAAUCUGCAAUGCAAUCAAUUGGCAUACGCUUAAAUGCAGAAGCGGGAUGUUUAGCCAUCAACCAAUGUUGAGCCACUGGUUGUUUGGAAAUAUCUUGUUUAGUUUCUUUCUUUGGUUUUGGAUCCAGUGCAGCCUUGAUGGUUGCACAGUGCAUGCUAAUACGCUCCCUAAGUUGCCUGCAUGUUUUCCCGCAAUACAGAUAACCACACAGGCAUUUAAUUAUAUAUAUCACAUUUUGGGAGGUGCAGGUUAAUCUCUGCAUGCUAUUGUACGCUUUGCCCGUAUGUGGGUGAAAAAAUUUAUCUCCCACCAUUAAGGAGCUGCACAUAGCACAAUUGCCACAUCUGUACACACCCACAUUAUUUAUUUUUGUCCAUAAUUUGUAUUUGCUUACCGGGUCUGCCGGUGAUAAGAGUUCCUUGAGAUUCUUAUGUCUCCUAUGGCCAAAACGGAUCCAUUUACGAUUGAUGCCCGUGAGUUCUGUGUCAGAUUGAACAACAGACCAUUGCUGUAAUACAGAUUUUUUAGUUAAUGGAGUACAUGCAUCAAAUGUGGUCAUAUAGUUAACUACAUAGUCCAUAUUUUUAUUCCCAUUAACUCAAAAUAAGUUCCCGAUCCAGUGAUUCAGCCCUCUGUUUGGUUCUGGCUAUUAAAUCUCGGUUAUAUACAUUUCGUAUAUCUUAAACCUUUCUUGCACAGGAUUUUAAGAACAAAUAGAUUAUUCAUGCACAUAUUUAUUAUCGUAAGGUUAACAUUUAACAUGUUAAUGACACUAGUCACUUUGAACAGAAACAUGAUUAAUAUGCUACCAGCACUAGUCACUUUUUAAAAAACACUUUUUUGCACACAUCAAUCACAAGAUGGUAACUUCCUUUUGAUGGGUAUUUAUGGGGAUUUGGAAUGAGAGCAUGGUUGCCAUGAGGAAGGUCCCUGUGUGGACCGAAACGUCACGGUGGCUAUUCAUGCAAACGUGAAUACACUUUAACUUUGAUACACAUA